rnacentral:misc_RNA from 1 species
ACCACGAUCGGGCGGGCGUGUUCCGAGAUGCGACGGUGAUAACGCGGCUGUAAACACUAAACAGUUUCUUGUCGCAUUUUGUCAUUAANGUNAUUAUUGCCAUUAUUCAUUGGUAUUCAUUAUAGUUAGGUACAUCAGCUAUUGUUUUUUUUUCUGUUUUAUAAAUCGUUGCUCGGUUUUAAUUAUAGCUCUUCUCGUUCUCGUUAAAUCGCGAUGAACGGUCACAAACCAGCAUAGUAAAUCAUCAGUGUACGAGGCACACAGUGGUCGGUGUUUUUUAUUUCGCUUUUCAAAAUGAUCAGGCCCAGCUAUCUGUGCGUUUUGGCCGUCCUGUGGUGCUCGACGCCGUCCACUUGGUCGCAAUUCAACGACGUGGAAACCAACUGGCAUUGUCCGCAGUACUGGGUUCAGUACGGGAACUCUUGUUACAAGUUCGUCAAGUCCCCGUUCCGACCGAGAAGUGAAGCUCACAGAAACUGUUUAGCAUUUGGAGCUGAUUUAGUUAGUGUCAACAGCUUAGAUGAACAUGGUUUCCUCAUAAAUCAACUCUUGCAACAAGACCCACAACAUAGACAGUGGUAUGUAGGUGGAAAGCAAACAAGCCCUGGAGUGUGGGUAAAUGAUGUCGAAAACAAUGUUCCACUUAUUGAUGUUGAAAGUGCACUCUUACCUGAACAACACACAACAUUAAACAGAGAUUAUAUAGCAUACACGUAUUCAGUUCAAUUACAAAAAUGGGGAUUUGAAAAAGUUCCCGGAGAUCGAUAUCUGCUUUAUAUUUGUGAAAUACCUCUUAAUAAACAACAUUUAAUAGUUGAAGAACGUUCCUAUAAGUAUGGCUAUAAUAUUGAUGAUCAGCAAAAAGUACCUCGAGGUCCUUACUUUAUUAAGGAACCAACAGAUGUAGUAUUUGAUAGUUCUGGAUCAUCAAUUACCAACGAUGUAGCUCUAAGUUGUGUUGCUGGAGGGUAUCCUACACCAACAUAUGAGUGGUUCAAAGAAGAUUAUGAUAAUCAAGAUCAAUUAGUAUCUUUAAAAAUUGAUCCACUAAGUAAUAAGAGGUUCACAUUAAGUGGUGGAACCCUUAUUAUUUAUGCUCCUAAGAGGGAUGAAGACAGAGGUCGAUAUCAUUGUAAAGCAUCAAAUAUGUUUGGUUCUGUAGUUUCUGAAAGUAUACAACUUUCAUUUGGAUUUAUUGGUGAAUUUAAUUUACAACGUCCUCUUGAACGUGGUAAUAAGAAUUGGGGUAAAACAAUAUUUUGUGAUCCUCCUCAAUAUUUCCCUGAGGUGAGAUAUUUUUGGGUCAGAGAAUCUUUUCCUAACAUGGUCCAAGAAGACCGGAGAGUGUUUGUCUCAUAUGAUGGAUACUUGUAUUUUUCCUCUUUGGAAGAAAGUGAUGCUGGCAACUACAGUUGUAAUGUGCAAAGUGAAGUUUCAAAAACUGGCAAAAAUGGGCCCUUGUUCCAAUUACAUGUAGUGACACAUUCUGAUUAUCAACAACUUAUACUUCCCAACAACUUCCCUAAAGCUUUUCCAGAAGCACCUAUUGCUGGUCAAGAAGUUAGGCUUGAAUGUGUUGCAUUUGCAUACCCUGUACCUUCAUACAAUUGGACAAGAAAAGGUUCUCCAUUACCUAAAGGUGCUUAUUUGACUAGCUACAACCGUGUGUUGGUAAUUCCUGAAGUUCAGGUGGAAGAUCAAGGAGAAUAUAAUUGCCAUGUUUUUAACGAUCGGGACAGUAAAGAGAAGAGUGUUACUUUAACAAUACAAGCCGAACCAAACUUCACAAUCCCACUGGAAGAUAAACACAUGGAUCACCUGUCAGAGUUGACUUGGACAUGCGAAGCUUUUGGCGUUCCUGAUGUAACAUAUAAGUGGUUUAGAAAUGGUGAACCAUUAGAAAUUGAAAAGCUACCACUAGGAGACCAAAAACGGUAUUUGAUACAGGACAAUGUAUUGAGUAUUAAAUUUCUAGAACAUGAUAAAGAUUCAGGAAUGUAUCAAUGCCAAGCUCGCAAUACUUUAAAAACCCGUUAUUCAUCUGCACAAUUAAGAGUGCUAUCUUUACGUCCAUCAUUUAAAAAGAAACCAUUAGAGCCUGAAAUAUAUGGUGCUGAAGGUAAAAAUGUAACAAUUGAAUGUAAUCCUGAAGCUGCACCUAGACCUAAAUUUACAUGGAAAAAAGAUGGAUACAUAAUAGGGUCUGGGGGUAGACGUCGUAUAUUAGAAAAUGGAAAUUUGAUAAUUAAUCCAGUUGGAAGAGAUGAUGAAGGUAUGUAUAUAUGUAUUGCUGAAAAUACUUUUGGAACCGAAGAAAGUCAUGGAAGACUUAUUGUUAUGCGUGGUCCUGUAUUCAUUGAACAACUUAAUCCCCAAAUUAGAUCGAUUAUUAAACAUGAUUUACUAUUACGAUGUCAAGCUGUUUCUGAUGAACUCUUAGACAUUGCAUAUGUUUGGACCCAUAACAAUAUGCCAUUGCUUAAUUCUAAUUCUGAACUGGUUGGACAUGUUAGCAUAAAUGGUGGAGAGUUGUACAUUCAUAACAUGACGUUGGAAGAUUCUGGUGAAUACAAAUGUUUUGUACACAGUGUGGUUGGAGAAAUAUCAUCAACGACUACUUUAUUUGUGGAUGGACCUCCUGGACCUCCAGGUGGAGUACAAGUUGAAGUCAUCAAAACUUCUGCCAAACUGCAAUGGACUGAUGGUGCGGCAAAUGGACGUCAAAUUACUCACUACAUAGUAAGCGCCCGUUCACAGUGGAACAGUACUUGGUAUACAAUUGCCACAGAUAUUACAGCCAAGGAAGUUGAUAGAUAUAAUGGGCGUAAAGAAGCAUUAUUAGAAAAUGUUCUGCAACCCUGGUCCAAGUAUGAAUUUAGAAUGNUAGCAGGAAAUGAUAUUGGAUUUGGUGAAGUAUCUCUUCCAUCNCCUCAAGUUAACACACCAGCUGAUCGCCCAUAUAAAGCACCUACAAAUAUCACUGGAGGUGGUGGCAAAAUUGGAGAUUUAACAAUUGUGUGGAAACCUCUAUCUUCACAAGAUCAAAAUGGACCAGAUAUCUAUUACAAAGUAUAUUGGAGACGUAUGGGUCAUGAUACAGAUUUUCAGUAUGAGACAUUGCAAGAUAGUGGUAAUAUUGGAAUGGCAGUAGUGCACAUUAAACCAGAAUUUUAUUACACUGAAUAUGAGGUCAAAGUUCAACCUUUUAAUUCAUUUGGUGCUGGUCCUAUAUCAGAUCCUAAAGUGAUAUAUAGUGCAGAAGAUAUGCCACAAGUAUCUCCUCAACAAGUGUUUGCUAUUUCAUACAACUCAACUGCCAUUAAUGUUAGCUGGGUACCAAUUGAUCAAUCACGAGAAAUGUUACGUGGUAAAUUAAUUGGCCACAGAUUGAAGUAUUGGAAAAAAGACGCAAGUGAGAGAGAAGAAGAUGCUGUAUAUUAUUUAAGUAGAUCUGUUCAGCCUUGGGCACUUAUUGUAGGAUUGCAACCAGACACAGAAUAUUAUGUAAAAGUAAUGGCUUUCAAUUCAGCUGGAGAAGGUCCAGAAAGUGAACGAUAUAUUGAACGAACAUACAGAAAAGCUCCUCAAAAACCACCAUCAUCUGUUCUAAUUAAUGGCUUAAAUCCAGACACCAUACAAGUAACUUGGCGAUAUGUACAACCAACACUUGAAGAAGAACCAAUCAAAGGCUACAAGGUGCGGGUUUGGGAAUAUGAUCAAGAUAUGAGUACUGCAAAUGAUACAAUUGUUGAAAUUGGAAGCAAAUUAGAAGCCCACAUUACUAAGUUAACACCUGGCAAAGUUUACAAACUUCGAGUGUUAGCAUAUUCCAAUGGUGGAGAUGGACGAAUGUCAUCACCUGCUAAAACUUUCCAAAUGGGAAGUUUUACUUAAUAAUGAAAGUUACUUAUGCGUAACAUAUUAUAUAAAUAAAUAAAACUAUUUAUGCAUUUAUGCUGAACAAUACAAGUUUACUCUUCUAUUUAUCAAAAUAUGUAAUCCAGAACUGUACUUAACCAACACUGCCGCCAAAAACUCGGCAGCCUGUCUGUCGAUCGUGUUGCUAUUGAGGUUGUACGGUAUCA